UAUUAGGUUGGUGCAAAAGUAAUUGCAGUUUUUAUCAUCACUUAUAAUGGAAAAAGCCACACUUACUUUUGCACCAAACUAAUA
rnacentral:miRNA from 1 species